AUAAACUCUUCGAAGCAGACAUGGAAUUAUGAGUACUUGUACGAGGUGCAAUUGACUUUUUCGCCACCAAAAGUACUUAAUGAAACCAAUGUAUAGUUUUCUGUUUUUUAUUUUUCAAUAUAGUCCCUCAAGUGAAAAACUCUGAAAAAUAUUCGAAAAAAAGGAAAAAGUCACUGGAAUCCGGGUUCGGACUGUAGGGUAGCUGGCUAAUAUCUGUAAAUUCAUUAGCUUUAAAGGCAUCAUUCGCCACCCGAGCGUUGUGAACGGCUGCGUUGUUUUGAAGAAACAGCACUCUGCGCGCUAACUUGCCACGUCUCUUCAUGCACGACUGCCUCACGUGCCUGUCUCAACAAAUUAGCAUAAUACUGGCCGUUCAUUGUAGCUCUCUUUGGCAUGUAAUCAAUUAAUAAUAUUCCAGAAAAUGGUAGCCAUGAUCUUUGACGCCGACUUUACCACUUCGAUUUUUUUUGGGCCUUUUUCUUUAUUUUAUCCACGUCGACUCAUCAACUGUUACAAUGCGGUAGCAAAUUUCUCCCAGAUCAUCUUUACAAUACUGGAAUCGUCGCUGCUCAUUCAAAAUCUCUUUACUAAACUGUAAUUUUUCUUCCAACUACCACAAUUAAAUUCUUCGGCCAGCCAAUACUAAUUGUUGGACUCUCUGAACAUUUUUUUCGGUCACGGCGUCACGAGCAGGGGUCAUCUUCACAGGUCUUUUUUGACGAGGCCAUUUUUUCACCAUCGUAUAUGAAGGGACAGAAUCCUGAAGAACUGAUGACAUUUCUUUAAAAAUUUCUUUCGGCGUACUUCCAGCGAGCGGUGCUCCGGAUUCCGUUGACAUAGUGUUGUUACUUAUUCCAGGUAUUCUGUACAAGCAAUGCAGACGAAACGUUGUGAGUUGAGAAAACAAGGAAUUUUCUAUUUUGGGAAAUUUAUUUGUGAAAUUUUAUAUAUUCGUAUCAUAUAAUCAAGCUUUGAAGUUUGCUUUUCAAGCUCAAUCGAUGAAGAAGAGAACAAAAAUUGAAAG